CUUGCAUAGGUCUUCAAGCACUCCUAAAUAUGACCCAUAAUUGAUGAUCAACCACCAUGCAGAUCUCAAAGCAUUUCAAAACUCUUUUAUUUAUCCUCCUGCAUAGAUCUCAAAGGUCAUUAAAAUAUGACCUAUAGAUAAGGAUCACCUACUGCAUAGAUCUUAAAGCACUCUGAACUCCUUCAUUCAUAAGGGUUGUGCCUCCUAAAUUUUCCAUCAUAUCAUCCUCGUGACCAUAUCACAAGCAUCAUCGCCAGUUGCUUCUUCUGCUCCCUUACUAGAGUUGUGCCUCCUGAACUUGUUCUCCUAGCGAUCAUGGUAGAUAAAUGAAUACCUAACUACACUCUAACUUAUUUUCUGCUACCUUCUCCCUUCCUCCUUGAUAAUGCUACUAACUGCUUUUACUAGCUCUUCUAUAGGAGUGAAGGAGAAAGCUUUGUUAGCAUACAUGGCCCUUCUUAUAUGGUAGGUAAGGAAUGAAAGACUUUUCAAGCUAAAUCCUUCCGGCCAAUGGAUCUUAUUCGGCAA
rnacentral:lncRNA from 1 species